rnacentral:rRNA from 1 species
AUACGUAGGUGGCGAGCGUUGUCCGGAAUGAUUGGGCGUAAAGGGCGCGUAGGCGGCGCGGUAAGUCUGGAGUGAAAGUCCUGCUUUCAAGGUGGGAAUUGCUUUGGAUACUGCCGCGCUUGAGUGCAGGAGAGGUUAUCGGAAUUCCCGGUGUAGCGGUGAAAUGCGUAGAGAUCGGGAGGAACACCAGUGGCGAAGGCGGGUAACUGGACUGCAACUGACGCUGAGGCGCGAAAGUGUGGGGAGCAAACAGGAUUAGAUACCCUGGUAGUCCACACUGUAAACGAUGAAUGCUAGGUGUAAGAGGUAUCGACCCCUUUUGUGCCGGAGUCGACACAAUAAGCAUUCCGCCUGGGGAGUACGGCCGCAAGGUUGAAACUCAAAUGAAUUGACGGGU